UUAACACUUAUUGAGUGCUUAUUGUGUGCC
rnacentral:piRNA from 1 species